rnacentral:sRNA from 1 species
AAAUCAACUGAGACUUCAACUUCAGCAUCGCCUCCAAGCACAGCAGAAUCGCCAGCCACUUAUGAAUCAAAUCAGCAAUGUUUCCAAUGUGAACUUGACUCUGAGGCCUGGAGUACCAACACAGGCACCUAUUAAUGCACAGAUGCUGGCCCAGAGACAGAGGGAAAUCCUGAACCAGCAUCUUCGACAGAGACAAAUGCAUCAGCAACAGCAAGUUCAGCAACGAACUUUGAUGAUGAGAGGACAAGGGUUGAAUAUGACACCAAGCAUGGUGGCUCCUAGUGGUAUGCCAGCAACUAUGAGCAACCCUCGGAUUCCCCAGGCAAAUGCACAGCAGUUUCCAUUUCCUCCAAACUACGGUACUGGACUUACAUCCCCACCACCUUUCACCAGUCCUUUCUCCCCAGUGUCCCCCAGUGUUGGGUCACAGCUCCUCUGUCACAGCUCUUUGCAUGGCUCCCAGAUGAAUCUGGCUAACCAGGGAAUGAUAGGAAACCUGGGAGGACAGUUGGGGCCUGUGAGGAGUCCCCAAGUCCAGCACAGUACCUUCCAGGCUCUCAGCU